GCACUCCAUUUAAUUAUGGUGUGUAUGGACGAAUGAAUCUCAUGUAAAUUCAUCUUUUUGAUAGAAUAUGGUUAUUUAAUUUUAGAUAUAUUUGUGGCCUAGAUCAAACCUAAAUAUUUGAAAGUGUCUUGUCUGUCUAGCUCUCAAUGGCAACAUUAUAAAUCUUUAUCUAACACUUCACUUUUACACUUCAAGAACUGAAAAAUAACAAUAUGGGGGAAGUCAUCUACUUGAGUUACCAAAUAAAAGUCUCCUCUCCUGAUUGGAAUAUUAGUAGAGUCAAGCACAUCAUCAUUCACAAGUUUCAGGAGUUUGUUGUUUCUAUCUAUAGCUCGAAAAGAUUUUCAGGUCUUCU
rnacentral:lncRNA from 1 species